AUGGGGAGACCAUGCUCUGUGUCAGAUUCUUCCGGAGUUCCGGCAGUCGGCUGGAUUGUUGGGCAGAAAGCUCCAGCGACAGCGGGCUUGACACCUUCGGCAAUGAUGAAGACGAUGAUAGCCUCCUUGGUGCCAAGCUUGAGGGAGAUGACUCCAAGUAGCCGCGCCGACAUCGUGGCGGGAUUUGGAAGGCGCCAUCGUGCCGUGGCUUGGCUGGUCGAACUUGGCGCUCCAUCCAUGAGGCCUUGUUCCAAAACCAUUAGCCACACUAUAGUGGUAGAUGUCCUUUGAUGUCUAUGCAGCACCCCAUGUAAGCCUUCGAGAAAUUAUGCAAAGAAAACACUGGGUUCUUGAACCCGUUAAACGUUAUAAAUACUCAUCAUCUUUUGACGAAAAAUUUCUCCUUCUCUUUCUCUCUCUUUUCCUGCCAUAAACCCGCACUCAUGUGUCA
rnacentral:lncRNA from 1 species